CCAGCAGCCGCGGUAAUUCCAGCUCUAAUAGCGUAUAUUUAAGUUGUUGCAGUUAAAAAGCUCGUAGUUGGAUUUUGGGUUGGAGCAACCGGUCCGCCGUUCCGGUGUGCACUGGUGGCUUCUUCCUUUCUGCCGGGGACUGCGUCUGGCAUUCAUUUGCUGGGCGUAGGAGUCGGCGUGGUUACUUUGAGUAAAUUAGAGUGUUCAAAGCAAGCUUGUGCUCUGCAUACUUUAGCAUGGAAUAACAUUAUAGGACUCUGGUUCUAUUUUGUUGGUUUUCGGAACCGGAGUAAUGAUUAAUAGGGACAGUCGGGGGCAUCCGUAUUUCAUUGUCAGAGGUGAAA
rnacentral:rRNA from 1 species